rnacentral:rRNA from 1 species
AGAGUUUGAUCCUGGCUCAGAAUCAACGCUGGCGGCGUGCCUAACACAUGCAAGUCGAACGCGAAAGCGGCUUCGGCCGCAAGUAGAGUGGCAAACGGGUGAGUAACACGUGGGUGACCUGCCUUCGAGUGGGGGACAACGUCUCGAAAGGGACGCUAAUACCGCAUAACAUCCCGCCUUUGGACAGGCGGCGAUCAGAGCCGGGGACCGCAAGGCCUGGCGCUUGGAGAGGGGCCCGCGCCGGAUUAGCUAGUUGGUGAGGUAACGGCUCACCAAGGCGACGAUCCGUAGCCGGCCUGAGAGGGCGGACGGCCACACUGGGACUGAGACACGGCCCAGACUCCUACGGGAGGCAGC